UACGUAGGGUGCAAGCGUUGUCCGGAAUUAUUGGGCGUAAAGAGCUUGUAGGCGGUUUGUCGCGUCUGCUGUGAAAUUUCGGGGCUCAACCCCGAACUUGCAGUGGGUACGGGCAGACUAGAGCGUGGUAGGGGAGACUGGAAUUCCUGGUGUAGCGGUGAAAUGCGCAGAUAUCAGGAGGAACAACGAUGGCGAAGGCAGGUCUCUGGGCCACUACUGACGCUGAGAAGCGAAAGCAUGGGGAGCGAACAGG
rnacentral:rRNA from 1 species